rnacentral:rRNA from 4 species
CUGACGACUCUCGGCAACGGAUAUCUCGGCUCUCGCAUCGAUGAAGAACGUAGCGAAAUGCGAUACUUGGUGUGAAUUGCAGAAUCCCGUGAACCAUCGAGUCUUUGAACGCAAGUUGCGCCCGAUGCCUUCGGGCUGAGGGCACGUCUGUUUGGGCGUCAAGC